UACGUAGGGGGCAAGCGUUGUCCGGAAUCAUUGGGCGUAAAGAGCGUGUAGGCGGCUCGAUAAGUCUGCUGUGAAAGUCCAGGGCUCAACCCUGGAAGGCCGGUGGAAACUGUCGGGCUAGAGUCCGGAAGAGGCGAGUGGAAUUCCCGGUGUAGCGGUGAAAUGCGUAGAUAUCAGGAGGAACACCGGUGGCGAAGGCGGCUCUCUGGUCCACAACUGACGCUGAGGUGCGAAAGCUAGGGGAGCAAACGGG
rnacentral:rRNA from 1 species